ensembl:lncRNA novel transcript
UCUCGGCGGCGGCGGCGGCAACAGGGGAGCCUGGGUCUCGCGGCCUGCGAGUCCGUCGCGUGCUGAGGGAGACGCAGGAGGUGGAGCCGGCCGGGUGCUCGAGGGAAGGAGACUGGAAGCUGGUUCCGGCGUGAGGAGAAGGCCUUUGAGCCCUACUUAGAGAUUUUGGAAGUAUACUCCACAAAAGCCAAGAAUUAUGUAAAUGGACAUUGCACCAAGUAUGAGCCCUGGCAGCUAAUUGCAUGGAGUGUCGUGUGGACCCUGCUGAUAGUCUGGGGAUAUGAGUUUGUCUUCCAGCCAGAGAGUUUAUGGUCAAGGUUUAAAAAGAAAUGUUUUAAGCUCACCAGGAAGAUGCCCAUUAUUGGUCGUAAGAUUCAAGACAAGUUGAACAAGACCAAGGAUGAUAUUAGCAAGAACAUGUCAUUCCUGAAAGUGGACAAAGAGUAUGUGAAAGCUUUACCCUCCCAGGGUCUGAGCUCAUCUGCUGUUUUGGAGAAACUUAAGGAGUACAGCUCUAUGGACGCCUUCUGGCAAGAGGGGAGAGCCUCUGGAACAGUGUACAGUGGGGAGGAGAAGCUCACUGAGCUCCUUGUGAAGGCUUAUGGAGAUUUUGCAUGGAGUAACCCCCUGCAUCCAGAUAUCUUCCCAGGACUACGCAAGAUAGAGGCAGAAAUCGUGAGGAUAGCUUGUUCCCUGUUCAAUGGGGGACCAGAUUCGUGUGGAUGUGUGACUUCUGGGGGAACAGAAAGCAUACUGAUGGCCUGCAAAGCAUAUCGGGAUCUGGCCUUUGAGAAGGGGAUCAAAACUCCAGAAAUGGAAUGAAAUGAAAGAACGAAGAGGAAAAUCUUAACCUGUACAGCCUCUUGGAUGAUGGGGUGGGAAGUAAAGACCUGUCCCCCAGUUUCCUGCUGCCUGGAGAAAUCUGGAAGAUCUCCUAGGGCUUUGGAGAAUGAAGGCACCCUUGUCUGGAUGCCACCACAGCCUCCUCCCUCUCACCCCGGCCUCCUCCUCCUCAUCUUCAGCCCACCAAGGCCAGAUUUGUCUUGCAAAGUGGCAUCAUUAUAAACGCAUCAGCCUCCUCUGGACGCCUGUGCCUGCUCCCGCCAGCCCAUCCAGGCUCGAUUACAUCUGAGGCUGUCUGGGGUAAUUAAGUGACAUUAGGACGCAUCCCCUGUUGUAAUGCAGUGUUCAAAGCCCUGGGCUCUUGCUUCCCAAGAGCUGCUGCCGCUGCACUGAGGCUGUGUCUGCCUAAUGCACCCCACUGUGAUUGUGGCUAAUUACUCCACAGACAGGCCUCAUUAGUGGUGGGUUCGGGAUGGAAGGUGAGAAGCAGGCUGUCUCCCCUGCCUCCCCCAGCCCACGGGCUUUCCCUCUCCCUCCGUGACCAAGCUUGCCUUACUUUGCUGUUGAGGCAGGAUUAGAAUAGGGCAAAGGAAUUCCCAAAAGACGUCUCAUCUGGGCAAGGUCAUCUACUGAGCUACAGGGCCUUCAGGAACUUUCCAACUGCUUUAUUCAACUAAUGGGAAGCCAAGGCCCAGAGGGGGUUACUGACUUGCCCAAGGUCACACAGCACAAGUGAAAUGCGCCACCUUUCCUAACUGCCCAGCUUGGAGGGGUAGGGGCAGGCCAAGUGGGAUCAUGCACAGCCAGGACCCACCUGGGUCCAGAGCUAGUGGGAGAAAGGGCUCAUGGGCACCCAGGAAAAGAGCUGGAUGGCUACGCUACCCCAGAGGCUCUUUCUGGUCUCUAGGCCUUUGCAACUGUUGCCUGGAAUCCUCUUCUGAUGCCCUCCACCUGCCACCUUGCACCUGGCUGACUCCUUUCAUCCUUCAGGUCUCGCUUUCUCCAGGAAGCCUCCCCUAACUCCUGAGUUUUGUGCUCCUCAUCCAUGCUUCCAUGAUACUCUGUACUUCCCCAUCUUGGCAGUCAUCACUCUGAAUUGUCAACACCUAAUACCCCACAUGCUAUACCCAUAGGAGGAGCAAGCUCUGAGACACUCUUGUUCAUGUAGUAGGCACUGGCCUAGCUCACAGAUGGCCUUUGAUAAGAAUUAGUAGAAGGAAAGAUGUAAUGAUUGAUGGCUGCUUGACCAGUACAAUGAGUACCAUGGUAAGGCUGUUGGUGUUCACUCACAUCUGAGAGUUUCUUUAUACUUCUCAGCCUCCCUUGCUCUUAGGUUGGUCACAUGACUCACUCCAGCAAAUGGGAUGUGAGCAGAAGGUAUAUAUGUUACCUGGAAUGAGGUGAAUAAUUACCUGGUGUGCUUUUCUACAAUCCUUGUUGCCUGAGUGAUGCCAAGAUCAUUUUGAAGCUGCAAGAUGGUGGAGCCACAAGAUGAAAGGAACCUGUAUCUCUGAGUCACCACACAGAAGAGAGACAUCUAGGAAAGCUGCUUGACAUGGGUCAUAUGAGUAAGAAAUCAACCUCACUGCGCAAAGCCACUGAGAAAUCAACCUUCCUGCACAAAGCCACCGAGAUGUUGGGGCUACUUAUUAGAGUGGCUAGUGGGAAUUACUCUGACUAAUAUAAAGGGGUUAAACUUGAUGGGAUGCAAAUAGGAAAUGGCUUCAUUUUUUCCAAUCACUGCUUUAAACAUGCUCCUAUUAAGCCUCCUUGCCCUGUCUCUUGACAACAUCUUGGACAGAUUCUAAGUUUUCGGUUACUGUUGGUUGUAAGAAGAGUCUCAUCUUAGUAAUUAGGACUCGCUUUCAGGGCCAGUCCAGCCUCAGAGAUUUAUGCUCACAUCCAGUUGAAAACUUCUUCCUUUCCUUCAGCUCAGGGCUGACCCAUGGCUUGGAGAUAAGAUUGGUCUGUUCUUUUGCUUCACUUCUGCUUUCUUGCCCUUCUGCUGCUGCUGGCUCCUUGAGAGUCAGAGCAAGGAGAUAGAGGAAUAGUAGAAAAAGGGGCUAAAAGUCUUAGGUCCCCGUCACUGUUGUAACCCACUGCUGAUGUCCUGGGUGUCAGGUUCUCCGAGGCUGGUGUUUGGGAUGGUGUUUUUGUUGGUCCUUUUGAGACAUUACAUGGACCACCUUCUGCCCCCUUCUCUGAUGGUGGCUGUGCAGAAUGCAGCUCGGGAUGGCCUCCUGUUAUACUCUCCUCUCCUGCCCUCACCCAGUUUCCACCACCAGGGGUAUGUCCAGGCCCAUGGGGAACACAUGCAUGCUUCCUACCAUAUGACAGCAGGCUGGCCCUCGGUUCUCACACUCCAGUGUGGCCUGCGCCAAGGCAGGCACCUGAAAGACCUGGGAGGUAACAAGUCCAAAAAUGAGUGGAACCAUCUGUCCCUUCUUAGGGGCCCUAUGGAGGGAGGAAAGAAGCCUGAAAAAUAAAUGGGGCUUGGAAUUCUGUUGGCUACAGAUUUGUAACAUCGAAGUUGAGGGGAUUAUUUUGUGUCACAAAAGGAUUCUUCUAGGAGUUACUAACUUGGAGUUUGGCUAAGUGGAGGGGUAAGGGUGAGACAGAUUAUAUCGCUGGUCUGUGCUUUUUGUAGGUCAUGGGUUCUUUGGGGAAUAUGAUGAAAGUUCCCUAGAAAAAUGCAUGUAUUCAUGUACGGAUAGUAUUUAUUAUGAAAUUUUAGGGCAUCCUGAAUCCCACUGUGUCUGCCAGAGGGGUCCAUGAAAUCCCAGUUAGUUAUCUCCAAACAAAAGUGCUGCUCCCCUGAAGUCUGAUUCCUUCAGUGUGGACCCAUCUGGGGACCCUGGCACCCACCCCCUGCCCCCUUCUCAGACUCUCUCUGCAGCAUCACAGUGAACUUACUCUUCUCCAACACACAUGACAAUUCCUGCCUUCAUGUCCUAGCCUGUGCUGUGCCUCCUGCUGGGGCAUUCUUUCCUCCAUGCCACCCAGGUCUCACUGUUGUGCAGAGCUCAGGCUACGCACCAUCUUCUCUAGGAAGCCAUUGGUGGUAGGCACAAUUCUAAAGACAUUGCCCCAAGACUCCUGUCCCUAGCUGUUCAGUUGAAUAUGAAUCUAGGUAGGCUGUGAAGAAGGGAUUUUGCAGAAGAAAUUAAUGCUACUAAUCAGCUGACCUUCAAGUAGGGAGAUUAACCUGGAUUAUCUGAGUGGCCCAAAUAUAAUCACAUGAGCCCUUAAAAGCAGCAGAGGAGGGCAGCAGAGUCAAUCAGAGAGAUGUGGUGGAAGGGGAGGGCAGAGAGAUGAGGCAGAAGAGAAGGUCAGAGCAGAGCAAGUCACAGUGCAAGGAGGACUUGACACUGCAUUGCUGGCUUUGAAGAUGUGGGAAGAGGCCAGGAACUGAGGAUGUGGACAGCCUUCAAAAGCUCAGAAUCAUGGCAAAAAAAUGGGGACCUUGAUCCUGCAAUGGCAAGGAACUGAAUUCUGCCCACAACAUGAAUGAGCCUACAAGCAGAUUCCUCCCCAGAGCCCUGAGAAAGGAACACAGCCCUGAUGACACCUUGAUUUCGGCUUUGUGAAUCCCAGAGCAGAGAACCAGCUGAGCUGUGCCGUGCCCAGAUUUCCAACCUACAGAACUGCGAGGUGAUAAAUAGGUAUGGUUUAAGCUGCUGAAUGUGUGAUAAUUUGUUACAGCAGCGAUAGAAACUAGCACAUCAUUGGCAGUGCAUUAAAUAGGGCCACAAAGUCUUUGACAUACUGAGAGGUGGAGGUGCUUCCCCAGCCCUUUAAUCUCAGCUGGUCCGUGACUGCUUUGACCAAGGUGGCCAGCAGAAGUGAACAUAUACCAGUUCCAGGUCCAAUCUUUAAAAACACUGAGGCCAGGCACAGUGGCUCAUGCCUGUAAUCCCAGCACUUUGGGAGGCCAAGGCAGGUGGAUCACCUGAGGUCAGGAGUUCAAGACCAACCUGGCCAACAUGGUGAAACCCCAUCUCUACUGAAAAUACAAAAAUUAGCCAGGUGUGAUGGCGGGCGCCUGUAAUCCCAGCUACUCGGGAGGCUGAGGCAGGAGAAUCGCUUGAACCUGGGAGGCAGAGUUUGCAGUGAGCCGAGAUCGUGCCACUGCACUCCAGCCUAGGUGACAGAGGAAGACUCCAUCUCCAAACAAACAAACAAACAAACAAAUAAAAAUACUGGCUGCUCCCACAUUGGUUUCUUGGAGCUGGGACCUGCCAUUUAAGAACUUUGGCUAUGCCGAGACAUCAUGCAGAAAAGAAGCCCAAGCUAGCCAUGUGGAAAGGCCAUGUGGUGAGAGAUGCCUGGUCAGUUUCAGCUCCCAGCCAUUAGUCAUCCCAGCUGAGGCCACGGACAUCAUGGAGCAAAGACAAGCCAUCCCCACUGUUCUCUGUCUGAAUCACUGACCCACAGUACAGAAAGAUACAAUAAUAA